rnacentral:pre_miRNA from 1 species
UCUUAUGGAUGAGCAAAGAAAGUGGUUUUCUUGGAUGGAAUUACGCCUGGUGAAGAUGCUGUGAA